GGAAUGUCUCAGUCCUGCUCUGAGAGCAGGCUCCUGGCUCCCAGCCAGGGGGGAGUUUCUGCAGGCACAUGGCCACACCAUGUGCCAUUGCCAGGGAAGCUCCUGCUCCUGGGCAGGAUUAUUUUUGUCACCUGCACAGCUUUUGCUCCAGAGCUGUGCUCCAGGAGCCUCAAUAUUUAUGUGUCACCGAUUUGUCAUCUGCCUGGGAACAUCUGCUACAGGAGGCGCGUGUUAAACCCACAUAUCGACACAAAGGCUCCCGAGGAAUCGCUCCUCCUGUUGAAGUUCUCCACACAAAAGCCUCCCUGAGCUGCCUGCUGGGAAUCCCGCCAGCCCUGAGCCUGGGAACUGGUGUAGUAAUGAAAAUGAAAGAGGAGGCUCCAGCGCAGUCAGCAAUCCUGGAAUGAGGACAUUUGCCUGCUCCCACACAGGCAGGAAAGAAGCUGAGGAGGGAUUUCAGUCCCUUCCCUCUCCUCCACGCCACAGCUUCUCUCCCCCAGGCUCCCUCGGGCUGGCUGUCUCGCAUUUUUACAAAAACAGUAACAAUAUCAUACUUAGGGCCAUAUGGAGAGCAAAUUAAAAAAAUUCUAUAAAAAUCUCAGCUGUUUUGUGGGAUAGAAAAGAGAAUUUCCAUCCUCCAGCCUUCCAGACUGUCCUACAGCCCAACUCUCUGUGCCAAACAUCCCUUUUUUUUCUUCCCUUCUGGCUCCAAGGAGUCCUCCCUAGAUUUAUAUCCCACAUUUCCUUGGCAUUCCCCUCCUGUGGGAUACCUGGGAGCAGUUUGGUGCCAGAACUACCCACAUGUGCCUGGAGGUCACAGCUGGCAGACACCAGCCAGGAGAACCAGGAAUGAGCUCAGCAGCAGGGAGAGGAGAGAUCCUGGUACCUGGAGAUCUGCCAUGAGCAGCUCAUUCCAGCCUGGAAUUGUGCAUUUCCUGAGGAAUACACAAAUUUCACAAAGAUACGCCUGGUGCUGAGGGAGCACCAGGUCUCCCUGAGGGAUGUGAAUGGCCUUUAACCAGAUCCCAGCAGGCAGAAGCCAAAACAGAGAAUCAUUUUGGAAAAAGACAAAGUUUUGGGGGUACCUUUUCUCUCCCAAAUGUAUGAAAGUUCCUCUCUUUUUGUUUCAAAAA
rnacentral:lncRNA from 1 species